rnacentral:rRNA from 1 species
AAAAUUUCAACAACGGAUCAAUUGGUUCUGGCAUCGAUGAAGAACGCAGCGAAAUGCGAUAAGUAAUGUGAAUUGCAGAAUUCAGUGAAUCAUCGAAUCUUUGAACGCACAUUGGCGCACGCAAGUAUUCUGGCGGCAUGCAGGUCCGAGCGUCAUU